rnacentral:rRNA from 1 species
CCUACGGGAGGCAGCAGUGGGGAAUAUUGCGCAAUGGGGGAAACCCUGACGCAGCGACGCCGCGUGGAUGAUGAAGGCCCUUGGGUUGUAAAAUCCUGUUCUGGGGGAAGAAAGCUUAAAGGUCCAAUAAACCCUUAAGCCUGACGGUACCCCAAGAGAAAGCUCCGGCUAAUUAUGUGCCAGCAGCCGCGGUAAUACAUAAGGAGCAAGCGUUAUCCGGAAUUAUUGGGCGUAAAGAGCUCGUAGGCGGUCUUAAAAGUCAGUUGUGAAAUUAUCAGACUCAACCUGAUAAGGUCAUCUGAAACUUUAUGACUUGAGGUUAGAAGAGGAAAGUGGAAUUCCCGGUGUAGCGGUGAAAUGCGUAGAUAUCGGGAGGAACGCCGGUAGCGAAGGCGAUUUCCUGGCUUGCAUCUGACGCUGAGGCACUAAAGCUAGGGUAGCGAUCGGGAUUAGAUACCCCAGUAGUCC